AGGGUUAUAGUUAAUUAUAACAUUUGGGUUGCAUUCAAAAAGUAUUGAUUUAUCAAUUAACCUUA
rnacentral:tRNA from 2 species